GAAGCCUCGCGCCCUAGUGCCGAGGUGCCGAGGUCGGUGCUAAACACCAGCCGCAGGCGGGGCUCAGUCAGCGGAGCAUCUGCUUUCAGCUCGGGUCAGGGCCCCAGAGUCUUGGGAUGGAGCCCGCACCGGGCUCUGCUCCGCAGGAAGCCUG